rnacentral:misc_RNA from 1 species
GAUGAAGAACGUAGCGAAAUGCGAUAAGUAAUGUGAAUUGCAGAAUUCAGUGAAUCAUCGAAUCUUUGAACGCGCCUUGCGCUUCUUGGUAUUCCGAGGAGCAUGCCUGUUUGAGUGUCAUUAAUAUAUCAACCUUUUUGGGUUGGAUGUGGGUUUGCUGGCCUUUUGAGGUCAGCUCCCCUUAAAUGCAUUAGCAGACAACAUUUUGCCAACUGUUCAUUGGUGUGAUAAUUAUCUACGCUAUUGACGUGAAGCAUAGAUUCAGCUUCUAAUGGUCCAUUGACUUGGACAACUCUUAUUUAUUAAUUUGACCUCAAAUCAGGUAGGACUACCCGCUGAACUUAAGCAUAUCAAUAAGCGGAGGA